GUCGUCCCACACAGACGAAACCUGAACGGCGCAAUGAAAGUGAAGGCCGACCGUCUCGCUCCCCCCUCAAAAGGGGAGCAGCGGUGAGCCAAGGCGGGAUCCGAGAAACACAGCCGGGGUGUACUGAAAAUCGACUCGCACCCCGGUCGGCGCACCGCCGGCCCGUCUCCUUGCCGCAACGUCGGUGAGGCGGAGCCAGAGCGUACACGUUGGGACCCGAAAGAUGGUGAACUAUGCUUGGGCAGGACGAAGCCAGANNAAACUCUGGUGGAGGUCCGUAGCGAUUCUGACGUGCAAAUCGAUCGUCGGACCUGAGUAUAGGGGCAAAAAACUAAUC
rnacentral:rRNA from 1 species